rnacentral:rRNA from 1 species
UGGGGGAUAUUGCACAAUGGAGGAAACUCUGAUGCAGCGACGCCGCGUGAGGGAAGAAGGUCUUCGGAUUGUAAACCUCUGUCUUUGGGGACGAAGAAAGUGACGGUACCCAAAGAGGAAGCCACGGCUAACUACGUGCCAGCAGCCGCGGUAAUACGUAGGUGGCGAGCGUUGUCCGGAAUUACUGGGUGUAAAGGGUGCGUAGGCGGACUGGCAAGUUGGAUGUGAAAUCUCCGCGCUUAACGUGGAGGUUGCAUUCAAAACUGUUGGUCUUGAGUGAGGCAGAGNCAGGCGGAAUUCCCGGUGUAGCGGUGAAAUGCGUAGAGAUCGGGAGGAACACCAGUGGCGAAGGCGGCCUGCUGGGCCUUAACUGACGCUGAGGCACGAAAGCAUGGGUAGCAAACA